rnacentral:tRNA from 1 species
GGGCCGUUAGCUCAAUAGGUAGAGCUGCAGACUUUUAAUCUGUAGGUUCUGGGUUCGAGCCCCAGGCGGCCCA